UUGCUUAAGCGCACGGAAACUUAAUCGGCGUUGCGGUGAGAUGUACGAGCGGAUAAUCAGGACAAAAGGGGCGGAACACGAUUCGAUUAAUGGAUCGACGCAGUCCACUUCGUUGGCAUCGAACGGAACCCGCCCUUUAUGGUGUUUACGGAUCUAUUUAGAAAUUUCCUGGCCGUUAGGCACAUGGCCAAAUAAGCAUGGUCAUCAAUAAACCGAAUGGCGAUGCCUGUGCUGAAACUUGGAAAAAUCAAUAGACAACGAGAGGAAACAUUACAGGUGACUUCCGACUGCUUCCUGCACGCGGAAACAUUGGCGGAUUAAGGACAGUGAUAAUUUCUAUCCAUCUAACUACAGGACGAAUUAUACGGCGAUCUCUACGACAUAAAGUUUCAGAUAUUCCGAGUCGCAGAAUUACGCAAGCAGAUACGGAGAGUGAGCUCAUGCAUAAAACAAGAAAGAGAUACAGCUGACACGAUUGCUUCAAUCGAUAUGUGAAAUCGCAACGGUAAUGAUACAAGUAUAGCAUAAGUAUUAAUAUCUAUAAAUGCCGAAAGUGUUACAAUAAAAAGGACUUUUAGUAAGUA
rnacentral:lncRNA from 1 species